rnacentral:rRNA from 1 species
AAUCACUGGGCGUAAAGCGCGCGCAGGCGGCCUUUUAAGUUGGAUGUGAAAGCCUAUGGCUCAACCAUAGAACUGCAUCCAAAACUAUUGGGCUAGAGUGUGGGAGAGGAAGAUGGAAUUAGUUGUGUAGGGGUAAAAUCCGUAGAGAUAACUAGGAAUACCAAAAGCGAAGGCAAUCUUCUGGAACAUUACUGACGCUGAGGCGCGAAAGCGUGGGGAGCAAACAGGAUUAGAUACCCUGGUAGUCCACGCCCUAAACGAUGAAUGUUAGUCGUCGGGUAGCUAGUCUAUUCGGUGAUGCAGCUAACGCAUUAAACAUUCCGCCUGGGGAGUACGGUCGCAAGAUUAAAACUCAAAGGAAUAGACGGGGACCCGCACAAGUGGUGGAGCAUGUGGUUUAAUUCGAAAAUACGCGAAGAACCUUACCUAGCCUUGACAUAUAUUAGAACACUUUAGAGAUAGAGUGGUGCCUUCGGGAGCUUUUAUACAGGUGCUGCACGGCUGUCGUCAGCUCGUGUCGUGAGAUGUUGGGUUAAGUCCCGCAACGAGCGCAACCCUCGUCACUAGUUACUAACGGUUCGGCCGAGGACUCUAGUGAGACUGCCUUCGUAAGGAGGAGGAAGGUGAGGACGACGUCAAGUCAUCAUGGCCCUUACGGCUAGGGCAACACACGUGCUACAAUGGCCAGGACAAUGAGAAGCGAUACCGCGAGGUGGAGCAAAUCUAUAAACCUGGUCUCAGUUCGGAUUGUAGUCUGCAACUCGACUACAUGAAGCUGGAAUCAC